GACGAACGCUGGCGGCGUGCUUAACACAUGCAAGUCGAACGGAAAGGCCUGCUUUCCCUUGUGGUUUGCGGGUACUCGAGUGGCGAACGGGUGAGUAACACGUGAGUUAUCUGCCCCCAACUUGGGUAUAAGCCUGGGAAACUGUGUCUAAUUCCCGAUCGGACUGCAGGGUGGUGCCUGUGGUGGAAAACGAUUUUCUAGUGGUUGGGGAUGAGCUCGCGGCCUAUCAGCUUGUUGGUGGGGUAAUGGCCUACCAAGGCGGCGACGGGUAGCCGGCCUGAGAGGGUGGACGGCCACAUUGGGACUGGGAUACGGCCCAGACUGGUACGGGAGGCAGCAGUGGGGAAUAUUGGACAAUGGGCGGAAGCCUGAUGCAGCGAGGCCGCGUGGGGGAUGACGGGCUUCAGGCUGUAAACUCCUUGCGACCGAGAGGAAGCCACCUGGUUGGAAGGGUGGUGACGGUAGUGGUAGAAGAAGCACCGGCUAACUACGUG
rnacentral:rRNA from 1 species